rnacentral:rRNA from 1 species
GAUGAACGCUGGCGGCGUGCCUAAUACAUGCAAGUCGAGCGAAGACGGGACGGGUGAGUAACACGUGGAUAACCUCCUAUAAGACUGGGAUAACUUCGGGAAACCGGAGCUAAACCGGAUCCUUAUAGCUGGAUCCGCGCGGCCUUAGCUAGUUGGUAAGGUAACGGCUUACCAAGGCAACGAUGCAUAGCCGACCGGAGAGGGGGAUCGGCCACACUGGAACGGAGCCACGGACCAGACGCCUACGGGAGGGAGCAGUAGGGAACAUGCCGCAAUGGGCGAAAGCCUUACGGAGAAACGCCGCCUGAGUGAUGAAGGUCUUCGGAUCGUAAAACUCUGUUACUAGGGAAGCGGUACCUAAACAGAAAGCACCGGCUAACUACGUGCCAGCAGCCGCGGUAAUUC